rnacentral:rRNA from 1 species
AUUGAACGCUGGCGGCAUGCCUUACACAUGCAAGUCGAACGGUAACAGGUCUUCGGAUGCUGACGAGUGGCGAACGGGUGAGUAAUACAUCGGAACGUGCCCGAUCGUGGGGGAUAACGGAGCGAAAGCUUUGCUAAUACCGCAUACGAUCUACGGAUGAAAGCAGGGGACCGCAAGGCCUUGCGCGGACGGAGCGGCCGAUGGCAGACUAGGUAGUUGGUGGGAUAAAAGCUUACCAAGCCGAGGAUCUGUAGCUGGUCUGAGAGGACGACCAGCCAGACUGGGACUGAGACACGGCCCGUACUACUACGGGAGGCAGCAGUUGGGAAUUUUGUACAAUGGGCGCAAGCCUGAUCCAGCCAUGCCGCGUGCAGGAUGAAGGCCUUCGGGUUGUAAACUGCUUUUGUACGGAACGAAACAGCUCUUUCUAAUAAAGAGGGCUAAUGACGGUACCGUAAGAAUAAGCACCGGCUAACUACGUGCAAGCAGCCGCAGUAA